rnacentral:rRNA from 1 species
UACGUAGGGUGCAAGCGUUGUCCGGAAUUAUUGGGCGUAAAGAGCUCGUAGGCGGCUUGUCGCGUCGGCUGUGAAAACCCGGAGCUCAACUCCGGGCCUGCAGUCGAUACGGGCGGACUUGAGUGUUGCAGGGGAGACUGGAAUUCCUGGUGUAGCGGUGAAAUGCGCAGAUAUCAGGAGGAACACCGGUGGCGAAGGCGGGUCUCUGGGCAACUACUGACGCUGAGGAGCGAAAGCGUGGGGAGCGAACAGG